UUCCUACGGGAGGCAGCAGUGGGGAAUAUUGCACAAUGGGGGAAACCCUGAUGCAGCGACGCCGCGUGAGCGAAGAAGUAUUUCGGUAUGUAAAGCUCUAUCAGCAGGGAAGAAAAAUGACGGUACCUGAGUAAGAAGCACCGGCUAAAUACGUGCCAGCAGCCGCGGUAAUACGUAUGGUGCAAGCGUUAUCCGGAUUCACUGGGCGUAAAGGGAGCGCAGGCGGCACGGCAAGUCUGAUGUGAAAACCCGGGGCUCAACCCCGGGACUGCAUUGGAAACUGCCGGGCUGGAGUGUCGGAGGGG
rnacentral:rRNA from 1 species